rnacentral:rRNA from 1 species
GUUGUAUGGUUAAGUGACUAAGCGUACACGGUGGAUGCCUUGGCARUCAGAGGCGAUGAAGGACGUAUUAACUUGCGAUAAGCCCAGAUUAGGUAGUAAAAACCAUUUGAGUCUGGGAUUUCCGAAUGGGGAAACCCAMUWACAUAAGUAAGUAUCGYURYGUGAAUACAUAGCRYARCGAGGCGAACCGGGGGAACUGAAACAUCUAAGUACCCCGAGGAAAAGAAAUCAACCGAGAUUCCGAAAGUAGCGGCGAGCGAAAUUGGACUAGCCCUUAAGC